rnacentral:rRNA from 1 species
AUAUUGGUCAAUGGAGGCAACUCUGAACCAGCCAAGUCGCGUGAAGGAUGACUGCCCUNCGGGUUNUNAACUUCGUUUUUAAGGGNCAAAAGUGAGCCACGUGUGGCCUGUUGAAUGUACCUUACGAAUAAGGAUUGGCUAACUCAGUGCCAGCAGCCGCGGUAAUACGGAGGAUCCGAGCGUUAUGCGGAUUUAUUGGGUUUAAAGGGUGCGCAGGCGGAAUAUUAAGUCGUCGGUGAAAGUAUGCAGCUUAACUGUACAAUUGCCGUUGUUACUGGUAUUCUUGAGUGUCUAUGAAGUAGGCGGAAUUUGUAGUGUAGCGGUGGAAUGCCUAGAUAUUACAAGGAACUCCGAAUGCGAAGGCAGCUUACUAAAAUACAACUGACGCUUAGGCACGAAGGCGUGGGGAUCAAACA